rnacentral:rRNA from 1 species
UACGUAGGGUCCGAGCGUUGUCCGGAGUUACUGGGCGUAAAGGGCGCGCAGGCGGCGGUGCAGGCCCGGCGUGAAAGCCCCCGGCUCAACCGGGGAGGGUCGUCGGGGACCGCACCGCUUGAGGGCGGUAGGGGCUGGUGGAAUGCCUGGUGUAGUGGUGAAAUGCGUAGAGAUCAGGCGGAACACCCGUGGCGAAGGCGGCCAGCUGGGCCGACCCUGACGCUGAGGCGCGAAGGCGUGGGGAGCGAACGGG